rnacentral:rRNA from 1 species
AUUGAACGCUGGCGGCAGGCCUAACACAUGCAAGUCGAGCGAGCGGCGGACGGGUGAGUAAUGUCUGGGGACUGCCUGAUAGAGGGGGAUAACUACUGGAAACGGUAGCUAAUACCGCAUACUAUCAGAUUACCCAUAUGGGAUUAGCUAGUAGGUGAGGUAAUGGCUCACCUAGGCGACGAUCCCUAGCUGGUCUGAGAGGAUGAUCAGCCACACUGGAACUUAGACACGGCCCAGACUCCUACGGAGGCAGCAGGGGGGAAUAUUGCACAAUGGGCGCAAGCCGGAUGCAGCCAUGCCGAGUGUAUGAAGAAGGCCCGAGGGUUGGAAAGUACUUUCAGUCGGGAGGCGUUACCGACAGAAGAAGCACCGGCUAACUCCGUGCCAGCAGCCGCGGUAAUAC